GAAAUAAGAAGACUUCAAAAAAAAGCUGCUAACUUUUUUAUUUAAUGGUUAAAAUCCAUUUUUAUUUCU
rnacentral:tRNA from 1 species